CUCAGAAUGAACGUUGGCGGCGUGGAUUAGGCAUGCAAGUCGUGCGCGAACUGUAGCAAUACAGGAGAGCGGCGAAAGGGAGAGUAUAACGUAGGUAUCUACCCUCGGGUCUGGGAUAGCGGCGGGAAACUGCCGGUAAUACCAGAUGAUGUCCCCGGACCAAAGGUGUGAUUCCGCUCGAGGAGGAGCCUACGCCCUAUUAGCUAGUUGGCAGGGUAACGGCCUACCAAGGCAAAGAUGGGUAUGGGGUGUGAGAGCAUGCCCCCACUCACUGGGACUGAGACACUGCCCAGACACCUACGGGUGGCUGCAGUCGAGAAUCUUCGGCAAUGGACGCAAGUCUGACCGAGCGACGCCGCGUGCGGGAUGAAGGCUUUCGGGUUGUAAACCGCUGUCGUAGAGGAGGAAAUAUCGGUGGGUUCUCCCACCGGUUUGACUGAUUCUAGGAGGAAGGACGGGCUAAGUUCGUGCCAGCAGCCGCGGUAAUACGAACCGUCCAAACGUUAUUCGGAAUUACUGGGCUUAAAGAGUUCGUAGGCGGUUGGGAAAGUUGGGUGUGAAAGCCCUCGGCUUAACCGAGGAAUUGCGCUCAAAACUGCCUGACUAGAGGAAGAUAGAGGUGAGCAGAACUGAUGGUGGAGCGGUGAAAAUGCGUUGAUAUCCAUCAGGAAUACCGGAGGCGAAGGCGGCUCACUGGGUCUUUUCUGACGCUGAGGAACGAAAGCUAGGGGAGCAAACCGGGAUUAGAUACCCCGGUAAGUCCUA
rnacentral:rRNA from 1 species